CAGUCGCGGUAAUACGGAGGGUGCAAGCGUUAAUCGGAAUUACUGGGCGUAAAGCGCACGCAGGCGGUCUGACAAGUCAGAUGUGAAAUCCCCGGGCUUAACCUGGGAACUGCAUUUGAAACUGUCAGGCUGGAGUCUUGUAGAGGGGGGUAGAAUUCCAGGUGUAGCGGUGAAAUGCGUAGAGAUCUGGAGGAAUACCGGUGGCGAAGGCGGCCCCCUGGACAAAGACUGACGCUCAGGUGCGAAAGCGUGGGGAGCAAACAGGAUUAGAUACCCCUGUAGUCCCUGUCUCUUAUACACA
rnacentral:rRNA from 1 species